AUUGAACGCUGGCGGCAGGCCUAACACAUGCAAGUCGAGCGGAUGAAGGGAGCUUGCUCCUGGAUUCAGCGGCGGACGGGUGAGUAAUGCCUAGGAAUCUGCCUGGUAGUGGGGGAUAACGUCCGGAAACGGGCGCUAAUACCGCAUACGUCCUGAGGGAGAAAGUGGGGGAUCUUCGGACCUCACGCUAUCAGAUGAGCCUAGGUCGGAUUAGCUAGUUGGUGGGGUAAAGGCCCACCAAGGCGACGAUCCGUAACUGGUCUGAGAGGAUGAUCAGUCACACUGGAACUGAGACACGGUCCAGACUCCUACGGGAGGCAGCAGUGGGGAAUAUUGGACAAUGGGCGGAAGCCUGAUCCAGCCAUGCCGCGUGUGUGAAGAAGGUCUUCGGAUUGUAAAGCACUUUAAGUUGGGAGGAAGGGCAGUAAGUUAAUACCUUGCUGUUUUGACGUUACCAACAGAAUAAGCACCGGCUAACUUCGUG
rnacentral:rRNA from 1 species